CUCAGCACCAAUUAUUGUGGAGAUAUUUCGCAUCACGAUGAAGUCCAUUCUGUUUGCUUUAGUCAUCUUUGCUGUGGCUAUGCAGGUAUUUUCGGAAAAUUUACCCGUGAAGGUUGACGCAGGUAAAGAGAAAUUUCUCACUAGCUUUUUCAACCCAACCACCAUUGUGUGCGGCGCCGU